UACGUAGGGUGCGAGCGUUAAUCGGACUUACUGGGCGUAAAGCGUGCGCAGGCGGUUUUGUAAGCCAGAUGUGAAAUCCCCGGGCUUAACCUGGGAAUGGCAUUUGGGACUGCAAGGCUUGAGUGCGGCAGAGGUGACUGGAAUUCCUGGUGUAGCAGUGAAAUGCGUAGAUAUCAGGAGGAACACCGAUGGCGAAAGCAGGUACCGGGAACAUUACUGACACUCAGAUGCGAAAGCUAGGGGAGCAAACAGG
rnacentral:rRNA from 1 species